rnacentral:lncRNA from 1 species
UCUGCUAAGACUUUUCAUCAAGCAUCAGGUACUCAUCUUUCCUCGAUACAGGUUUCUAGAGGGCAGUUCAUCUUCUUCCCCUGAUUCUGGAUUCUGGAGCAUCUACCCAUAUGACGGGUAACUCUUCUAUGUUUACUUCUUAGAUUAUACCACCUCGUUUCCUUCGUGCUGACUUCUUGCUUUACCUAUUCAAAAAGCAAGUCUAUCUCCUUCUUUGUCUUUGUCCAAAGUUCUUUAUAUUCCAAAAUUGGACCCUUUCCAUCGAUUAGUCUUAGUCUUUU